UCUCUCGCAACUUCCCGCUAAAGCCACUCCACGUUCUCCAUUGAAGCGACUUCCGACAUUGCUAAGGAAAACAUUGCUGCUGGAAUUUUUGAACAUGAAACUGCAUAAAGUGCUGGUCGUAGUAAUUUCUGCGGCUGCAGUAUAUGGAAUUUGGAGGAGAUACCGUGCUAGGAAUAAGGUGAAUAAUCACGAGGUGAAUAGAACACACCCUUAAUUUGUUUUUGAAUUCGUAAUUCUAAUAGAGAUGCUACCUAUGUCCCAUGUAGAUUGAUCAUCUCAGUGAGAUUCCUGAUGGGGUUUUGUUACCUGUUCUGUCAUAUAUGUCAUUGUGUGAUGUUGCAAGAAUGUCAAUGUUAUCGAGAAAAUGGAGAAACUUGUGCUUAGACAUUCCGUCUCUUGAAUUGGAGUGGUAUGAAUUGUCUGAUGCGCCGAAUGACGGGACUCAUUCAUCUAUCUGUCAACAACGACCCUAUACAGAAAAAUAUGUGAAACGUGUGGAUCAGGUGUUACAUAACUACAGGGAUCAUAAGAAGUUCAAAUCCUUUAGUCUUGUGUGUUGCCUGGAAUUCAGUUUCGCUAAUGAAGUGAAUCGGUGGAUCAACUUUGUUGCUGCAAGCAAGGGUACUCUGCAGAGUCUCACCCUCUACUUUAUAUGUCGUCAAGAGGGUUUCAGGGGUCUUGUCUAUCCCGCUUACACUAAAUUGCAUGUUAUUAGUGGUUCCUUUCUUUCUCAGUUUUCGUGUUUGCAAGAUCUGCAUCUAGAUUCCUGCGUUCUGAACCUUGAGAAUAAUGAUUUGGUUUUAUCACGUUACUUAACUACCCUUGAUCUAUACAACGUUAAUGUACAAGGGGAAGUCACACAGUGGCAGGGCAUUCUAUCUUCCAAGUAAGUUGUAUAUUGACAAUAAUUUCAUUCGCUUGAGCUUCCUCAAGAUUGGACAGUGCUCAGAUUUGCAAGAAUUGGAACUUAGUGCUAGGAAAUUGAAGAAGUUUGAGUACUAUGGUGGUGAAGGUGAACAAGGUUUGACAUGGACUUUUAAAAACGUUUCAAGUUUGGAAAGUGUGCAUAUGUUUGUGAACUGCAGAACUGAAUAUGCUUUAGAAAGACUUGCAGUUAGCGCAAGCCCUAAGUAUCUAGGCCUCCGAGCAUACGAUCCUCUGAUAAGUAAACUACCUACUAGCCCACACUAUCUAUUUCACUCGGUCUUGAAACUGCGCAUCUCCUCGGUGUUUGGUGAUAGCAGGAUAGUGCUGGAUCUCCCCUGCCUUAUCAAAUCCUUUCCAGUAUAUAUUGGAAAAGCUUGAGAUAGAGUUUCCAAUAGAGCCUGGUGAUCAAAGCUGUGAGCUUCCGCCUGUGUUUCCACAACAAUUUGAAGGAGAUUAAAUUGUUUUGUUUCAAAUUAGUAUGGAUACCAUUUGCUACCUAUUUGUUGCAAAGUGCUUUGGUGUCGGAUCGUAUGGUUAUUACCAAAUCUUUUACUAGUGAGGGAGGCAUGCGACCCUGGGAAUAUAUCUAUAUCAAAAUCAUACCAUUCACUAGUACCGAGCAUCAAUUUAUUUUGAAUUCGUUCAGUGGAAAGGCAUCAUUAACUAAUGUGAAGUUUAUCUUUACAUGUAAUAUUCCUUAAUCUUGAUUAUUAUUAGCAACAAUUACGUUUCAACCCGUAACUAGGCCAGUGCAAUUGGUUUUGCAUUACUAUGAAAAUGAAUAAUGCAAAACCAUUGCAUAAGCUAAGAUAAACAAUUUGAAGAUAGGAUCAAUAUAUACUUGUAUAGUCGUAUAUCAUUAUGCAUAUACAAUUACUCUAUAUAAUUUAG